AUCCAGCUGAUCAGUCCCAAUUAGGACGAAACGCGCGUCCUAGAU
rnacentral:hammerhead_ribozyme from 1 species